rnacentral:lncRNA from 1 species
UUCUUGUUUGAUAGCAGCUUGUUUCUUAGGUGAUUCACGGUAGCCGACUUGACUUAUAGGAGGCGCUUCAGUUACGAUGUUGUAGGUAAGGAUGUUUGUUCUGCCAAGGUCAGAGUCACCUAUGCUGAAUAUGUCUAGGUCACAAUGAAUGAGGUAGAAAAUUUCCAAUUUUUUAAUCAUCGGAGAGAUUGUUGUCAAGUGUAAUAGCAUUUAUCAAGGUUUGUAACUUUUUUUUGUUGGUUUGGAGUGGAAGGUGAGUGCUGGAUCCUUGCUGAUGUGAGGUAGUUGUUGCAUGGUGGGAGACAAGGCAACUUCCCUUUUGAUGUUGAGCCUUGCCUUGGGUAUGAAAGAAAGAC